UUUGAAUUAUGAAUGCGUUGGUGUAACGGUUUCGGUUUCGGUUUCCACUCUAUCUUUAAGCUAAUUCUACCCUUUCUCUUUUUUGUGAAUAUUUGCUUUAAUCUUCUUCGUCUUCGUUAUUCUUUCAAGAUUUCACCCAUGAUCUAGAAGAUUCGAUAUGUUUUUGCUGUGAAUUACCAUCUGAUUCCUUUUAUACAACUGUAUUCGGAUUUGUGGAUUGUUGAUUUGCCUCAGGGAGAAGAACUACGUGAUGAACAUAUGAACGGAGUGUUAUUCUUGUUUGCUGGAUUAAAAUUAUGAUUUUCUCUACGUAAGUGUGUGGCGAUUUUUUUUUUCUGGAUGAUCGCUGAAUUGAAGAUCUUUUCCGAUCUGGAAGUUUGGUUGAGCUCUUCUAAUUUGUUGAUCUGUUCUGUUACGGUACUGUGUUGUUGAGCAUGACCUCUUUGUUUUCACGGAACUGUUUUCCUGAUUGUUCAGGCGAGAUCUCGAUUGUGAACGUUUGCUUUUUGUCGGUGAUUGGAGGAUGAUUCUGCUGCUUCCUAGAUCCGAAGAAACUGGAACUUCUCCUAUUCUUCAACUAUUGAUCUUAUGUAUAGAGAUUUAGCUACGGUUCUUCUUGUCGAACAUGGCUUUUCUUUUACGGGACUGUUUUCCUGAUUAUUCGGGCGAGAUCUAGAUUGUGAACGCUUGCUUUCUGUUUGUGAUUGGAGGAUGAAUUCUGCUUUUGCCUAGAUCUGAAGAAACCGAGAACACUAUCCCUAAAACUUCUAUUCUUCGACUGUUCUUAUCAUUAUUAUUGUAGAGGGAUUUAGCUUCGGUUUUGCUUUGUUUGCAGUGUAUUUGGGAGGUUGGAGAUUUGUAAAUCCGGAGAUAUUGGAAAGAAUUUUCUGCAAUUUUCGACAUGGACGACUAGAUAUCUAAUUCCUUAAAACAGAACAGAUCCUCUACUUUUACCCUUUUUUAAAUUCAAUUAUAAAUCAUGCAUAUGAAUUAAAAUGUGAAUCUAUAUUCUAUGCAGCGUUGUCCAUCUUGAAGCGUGGUUGUUUUGAGUGCGACACAUACAGAGGAUAGAGACCAAGAACAGUUUUUCUAAACUUUCUUUCCUUGCAGUUUUUUUCCCCAACCUACUGUGCUAGCAUUGUGAAUUAAAAUGUGGAUGUGUUUCCUAUGCAGUGUUGUCUGAUCCUGGUCGAUAUGUUUCCUGCACUUGCCUGGUUCAUUUGUUUAAGUUUUGUUCUUUUUUUUUUUAAAAUUUAAAUAAUUGGCUUUAGUUCUUUGUUAUUUCCUUUAUAAUCCUGUCUUUCUUGGAAAUCGGUUUAUGUUUCUCUUUUCUGCCUUAGGAGCCAAUUGAAGGAUAUGGGAUUGCACUUAGGCGAUGUGGCCAAGAUUCUGAAAUUGAUAAUUCCCUCCUAACAUAUGCAUCAAUUUUUUUUAGUAUUAAAUAAUAGUUUGAUUACGGAGUUAUCUUGUUUAUGUCCUGCAAUGCUUUAAAUUGGUUGCAGAAAUCUGGAAUAAUGGAUAGAAGAUAUAUGGCAGGAAGGCUCAAAAUAAUACAGGCUCAUAAUCUGAUUAACUCUCCUUUUUUAACUGUCUUGCGUUAAUGGUCAUGCAAAAUUAAAUUUGAACUUGUUCUCUUGCAGUGCUAUCGUUUUGGUCAAGUAACAUUGUACCUGGAGUUUGGACGCACUGGAUCUCUUGUCUCUUGGUUUUUUUUUUAUGUUUUUGCUAGUUCAUAUGCAUAAGUAUGCAGAUAUCAAUUGAAUUUUGUCUGUUCAUUUGCAGUGUUGUCUUCCAAUCAUACUUUUGGCAACAGGCAUUCAUGUAUUAUGGUGACUUCUAACUGGCUUUAGUGUUCUCUGUGUCUAGUGUAUUGUUCCUGUGCAUUUCAUUUCUUUGAUGUUCUUCAUAUUGCUUGGGGAGGAGUGUUCUUUAUAUGUUUUUCCUGUGAAUUUCUAUCUAGUCUAUAGAACUGCUCUUGGAUUUGUGGAUUUUGGAUUUACUUAGCUGCUGAUCGCUUCUUUCUGGAUUUGAUAAUCUUGGGAAUGGUUACAGUUUCACACAGUUUCACAGGGAAAAGAACCAGGCGAUGAACAUAUGGACAGGGUGCUAUUCUUGUUUGCUGGAUUGGAAUUGUGAUUUUCUCUCUUCAGGUGUAGCGAAUUAUGUGGAUGAUGUGUGUGUUGGCUUCGUUUAAGAUCUUUCCUGACCUGGAACUUUGGUUGAGCUUUUCUAAUUUGAUGAACUGGUUCGGGGAUAGUGUAUUCGGGAGAUUGGGAAUUGUAGAUUGGAGAUAUUGGAAAGAAUAUUUUGCAAGACCCGAGGACCAUACAUCUAAUUCCAUAAAAGCAAUCUGAUUCUCUAUACAUUUUAUUUCCUUGCUCAUUUAACUAAAUAUUAAAGCAUGCAUUGUGAAUUAAAAUGUAGUUUAUAUUCUAUGCAGCAUGGUCGAACAUGGCUUUUCUUUUGCGGGACUGUUUUCCUGAUUAUUCAGGCGAUCUAGAUUGUGAACGGUUGCUUUCUGUUGGUGAUUGGAGGAUGAAUUCUGCUUUUGCAGAGAUCCGAAGAAACCGAGAACAUAUUCUUGCUUUUCCCCCCCUAAAACUUCUAUUCUUCAACUGUUCUUAUCGUUAUUAUUGUUGGGGGAUUUAGCUUUGGUUUUGCUUGGUUUGCAGUGUAUUUGGGAGGUUGGAGAUUUGUAGAUUGGAGAUAUUGGAAAGAAUUUUCUGCAAUUUUCGAUAUCACGAUAUGGAUGACUAGAUAUCUAAUUCCGUAAAACAGAACAGAUCCUCUACUUUUACCCUUUUUUAGAUUCAAUUAUAAAUAAAUUAUAAAUCAUGCAUGUGAAUUAAAAUGUGAAUCUAUAUUCUAUGCAGCGUUGUCCAUCUUGAAGCGUGGUUGUUGAGUGUGACACAUACGGAGGAUAGAGAUCAAGAACAGUUUUGCUAAAGUUUUUCCCUGCAUUUUUUUUCCAAACCUACUGUGGCAGCACUGUGAAUUAAAUGUGGAUAUGCUUCCUAUGCAGUCUUGUCUGAUCUUGUUACCGCGGGUGUUGAGUACAUCCUGGUUGAUAUGUUUCUUGCACUUGCGUGGUUCAUUUGUUUAAGUUUUGCUCUUUUUUUUUAAUUUAAAUUAUUGGCUGCUUUGGUUCUUUGUUGUUUCCUUUAUAAUUCUGUCUCUUGGAAAUCGGUUUAUGUUUCUCUUUUUUGCCUUAGGAGCCAAUUGAAGGAUAUGGGAUUGCACUUAGGCGAUGUGUCCAAGAUUCCGAAAUUGAUAAUUCCCUCCUAACAUAUGCACUAAUUUUUUUUAGUAUUAAAUAAUAGUUUGAUUACGGAGUUAUCUUUUUAAUGUCCUGCAAUGCUUUAAAUUGGUUGCAGAAAUCUGGAAUAAUGGAUAGAAGAUAUAUGGCAGGAAGGCUCAAAAUAAUACAGGCUCAUAAUCUGAUUAACUUUUCGUUUUUAACUAUCUUGCGUUAAUGGUCGUGCAAAAUUAAAUUUGAACUUGUUCUCUUGCAGUGUUAUUGUUUUGGUCAAGUAAUAUUGUGUAGCUGGUGACCUUGUACCUGGAGUUUGGAUGCACUGGAUCUGUUGUCUCUUGGUUUUUUGUUUUUUUUGUUAGUUCAUAUGCAUUAGUAUGCAGAUAUCAAUUGAAUUUCGUCUGUUCAUUUUCAUUGUUGUCUUCCAAUCAUACUUUUGGCAACGGCAUUCAUGUAUAAUGGUGACUUCUAACUGGCUUUAGUGUUCUUUGAUCUGUUUUUCCUGUGAAUUUCUAUCUAGUUUACAGAACUGUUCUUGGAUUUGUGGAUUUUGGAUUUACUUAGCUGCUGAUCAAGAUGCUUCUUUCUGGAUUCGAUAAUUUUGGGAAUGGUUGUAGUUUCAACACAGUUUCACAGGGAAAAGAACCAGGCGAUGAACAUAUGGACAGGGUGUUAUUCUUGUUUGUUGGAUUGGAAUUGUGAUUUUCUCUCUUCGGGUGUAGCGAAUUAUGUGGAUGAUGUGUUGGCUUCAUUUAUGAUCUUUACUGACCUGGAAGUUUGGUUGAGCUUUUCUAAUUUGAUGAUCUGGUUCAGGGAUAGGUUUGAACAUGGCUUUUCUUUCAUGCAGCUGUUCUGUUGAUUGUUAAGGCGACAUUAUCUGGAUUAUGAAUGCUUGCUUUUUUGUUGGUGUUUGGAGGAUGAAUUCUACUUUUCCCCAGAUCUGAAGAAACUGAGAACUCUCUGAAUCCUUGUUUUCUCUGAAAAUUCUCCUAUUCUGUACUGUUCUUAUUCCCGGAGAGAUUUAGAUUUGCUUGUCUUUGCUUGGUUUGCAGUGUAUUUAGGAGAUUGGGAAAUGGGAAUUGUAGAUUGGAGAUACUGGAAAGAAUAUUUUGCAAGACCCAAGGACCAUAUAUCUAAUUCCAUAAAAGCAAUCUGAUUCUCUAUACAUUUUAUUUCCCUGAUCAUUUAACUAACUAGAGCAUGCAUUGUGAAUUAAAAUGCAGUUUAUAUUCUAUGCAGCAUUGUAGCCUGGUUUUUGAGCACGAAGCAUACCGUGGAUGGAAUCUAGUUUCCUAAAACAGUUUUUCGAACUCUUCUUUCCUUUUUGUUCAUUUCAACCUACUGUGCUUAGCAGCAUUUGAAUUAAAUGUUGUUUGUUUCCGGUGCAGUGUGUUCCGAUCAUUGGUGUUGAGUGCAUCCUGGUGAUAUGUUUUUGCACUUGCCUGGUUCAUUUGUUUAAUUUUUGCUUUUUUUUUUAAUUUUAAAUUUGCUACUGUGGGUUAUUUCCUUCGUUAUUCUCUCGUGCUUGGAAAUCAGUUUUUGUUUCUCUUUUCCUUAGGAACUGAUUAAAGGGUAUGGGAUUGCACCGAGACUGUUCAAGAUUCCGAUAUUGAUAUGUCCUUGUUAUAUUAUUCUUUUUUCUUUCUAUCCCCUAAAUAUUAUAAAAGUAACUUGAUUAUAUAGUUGUUUCACGUUGUUUAUGACCUCCAAUGCUUUUCAUUGGUUGCAGUUAUUUAGAAUUUUGGAAAAAGAAGAUAUGAUUUGGAAAAAAAGCUCUGCAAAAAUAAUACAGGCUCACGAUCUAGAUUAAACAUGUCUUCUCUACUGAAUUUUUCUGCCAUAUUUAUUUUUUAGCAUUAAUGGUUUGUGCAAAGUUCAAUUUGAACCUGUUUUCUUGCACUGUUACGAUCGUUAACAUUAUCCGUGUAAUCGAGUUAGAUGUGGAGUUGGUGACUUCUACUCGAGUUUGAAUGCCCUGGUCUUUUCUAUUUAUUUCUUCUAUUUUUUCCGUGUAUUUAGUAUGAACAUGUCAAUUCCUGUUCCUUUGCAGUGUUGUCUUCCAAUUGAUACCUUCGACUACUAUACUCAUAUGCACAGGGGGCUAUUCUUGUUUGCUGGAUUGGAAUUGUGAUUUUCUCUCUUCGGGUGUAGCGAAUUAUGUGGAUGAUGUGUUGGCUUCAUUUAAGAUCUUUCCUGACCUGGAAGUUCGGUUGAGCUUUUCUAUUUUGAUGAUCUGGUUCAGGGAUAGUUGUGUUGUUUGAACACAUGGCUUUUCUUUCAUGCAGCUGUUCUGUUGAUUGUUAAGGCGACAUUAUCUGGAUUAUGAAUGAUCGCCUUUUUGUUGGUGUUUGGAGGAUGAAUUCUACUUUUGCCCAGAUCUGAAGAAACUGAGAACUCUCUGAAUCCUUGCCUUUUUCUGAAAAUUCUAUGCAGCUGUUCUGUUGAUUGUUAAGGCAAUAUUAUCUGGAUUAUGAAUGCUCGCUUUUUGUUGGUGUUUGGAGGAUGAAUUCUACUUUUGCCCAGAUCUGAAGAGACUGAGAACUCUUUGAAUCCUUGCUUUUUCUAAAAAUUCUCCUAUUCUGUACUAUUCUUAUUCUCGGAGAGAUUUAGGUUUGCUUGUUUUUGCUUGGUUUGCAGUGUAUUUGGAAGAUUGGGGAUAUUGGAAAGAAUAUUUUGCAAGACCCGAGCACCAUAUAUCUAAUUCCAUAAAAGCAAUCUGAUUCUCUAUACAUUUUAUUUCCUUGAUCAUUUAACUAAAUACUUUAAACCAUGCAUUGUGAAUUAAAAUGUAGUUUAUUUUCUAUGCAGCAUUGUAGCCUGGUUGUUGAGCACGAUGCAUACAGUGGAUGGAAUCUAGUUUCCUAAAACAGUUUUUCGAAACUCUUCUCUCCUUUUUGUUCAUUCCAACCUACUGUGCUAGCAGCAUUUGAAUUAAAUGUCGUUGGUUUCCUGUGCAGUGUUGUCCGAUCAUGGGUGUUGAGUGCAUCCUGGUGAUAUGCUUUUGCACUUGGCUGGUUCAUUUGUUUAAUUUUUGCUUUUUUAAUACUUUGUGUUGUUUCCUUCGUUAGUCUCUCGUGCUUGGAAAUCGGUUUUUGUUUCUCUUUUCCUUGGGAACCAAUUGAAGGGUAUGGGAUUGCACCGAGACUGUUCAAGAUUCCGAGAUUGAUAUGUCUUUGUUAUAUUAUUCUUUUUUCUUUCUAUCCCCUAAAUAUUAUAAAAAUAAUGUGAUUAUGUAGUCGUUUCACUUUUGUGACCUCCAAUGCUUUACAUUGGUUGCAGCGAUUUAGAAUUUUGGAAAAGAAGAUAUGAUUUGGGAAAAAAGCUCUGCAAAAAUAAUACAGGCUCCUGAUCUAGAUUAAACUUGUCUUCUCUACUGAAUUUUUCUUCCAUAUUUAUUUUUUAGCAUUAAUGGUUCGUGCAAAGUUCAAUUUGAACCUGUUUUCUUGCAGUGCUACGAUCGUUAACAUUGUCCUUUGUAAUCGAGUUACAUGCGGAGUUGGUGACUUCUACCUGGAGUUUGAAUGCCCUGGAUCUUUUCUAUCCCCUAAAUAUUAUAAAAAUAAUGUGAUUAUGUAGUCGUUUCACUUUUGUGACCUCCAAUGCUUUACAUUGGUUGCAGCGAUUUAGAAUUUUGGAAAAGAAGAUAUGAUUUGGAAAAAAAGCUCUGCAAAAAUAAUACAGGCUCCUGAUCUAGAUUAAACUUGUCUUCUCUACUGAAUUUUUCUUCCAUAUUUAUUUUUUAGCAUUAAUGGUUCGUGCAAAGUUCAAUUUGAACCUGUUUUCUUGCAGUGCUACGAUCGUUAACAUUGUCCUUUGUAAUCGAGUUACAUGCGGAGUUGGUGACUUCUACCUGGAGUUUGUGAAUGCCCUGGAUCUUUUCUCUCGUCUCUUUUAUUUUCUUUCCAUGUAGUAUGAACAUGUCAAUUCCUGUUCCUUUGCAGUGUUGUCUUCCAAUCGAUACUUUUGACUACCAUACUAAUUCAUAUGGUGACUUCUACCUCGGUAUAGCAGUUUGUGAUUUGUUCUUCAUGAUUUUGACUGAGUUUUGAGAAUGAUGAUAGGCCCAACCUGUUGUUCCCUCAUCCUAGUUGUUGACACACUUUCAAGAUAGGACAGUAAGCGUUUAUUGAGCAUAUGCUGACUGUAUCAUAUAUAAUCAAUUUUGCUUUUUAUCGCUUUUUAUUUUUGACCCAGCACAUAAAAGUUAUUGGAUUCGAUAACACGAAUUGUAUAGUUGUUUGUGCUUCCAGUUAUCUCUGAGCAGAAUCAGAGUGUAUCGGUUAUCGGUUCUGGGGUGUUAUCAGUUCUCAGUCUCGCUAAUAAGGAUAAGAGGAUUUGAUUUUAGUUCUUUUUUUGGUGUUGUUUUCUCUUUGGAUGAGGUAUUUGAAUUGAAUUGUGAACAUGCUUUUGUGGUGUUAAACGAUUGUGUAUUGGAGAUUAACUUUGGGGGUUCAGGAGCAAAUUUUGUCUACACAUAGUUUUCCCAACUCAAUUUUGCCAUUUGUUCUCACGUUGUGUUUUUGUUUGAUCUGGUCUUCCAUCAGUUUGACAAGCUGUUUCUUUCAUUUAUUUUCAGCUUUCUGCAUAUGCGUUUGCUAUAAUUGGUCACACUACCCGUAAUUGGAGAAUUUUGCUUGAACGCUGUGAGGGUGCUGAAAAAACUGUUGUAGAUUGUUGUGCUGGCCUUAAACUGUUCUUGCAUGUGAAGUAUUGAAGGAUAUUCUGUUAUUAGGUUUUAACUUGUCUUGAUUUUACUUAACUACUAAGAGAAAAUGUAAAAAUGAUGUCUUUGAUUUCACUUUCUAUUAGGCACAUUGCAACUAUCAUUUUGUUUUUUGUGCAUAACUAGAAACUUCUUUUCUGUUCAUCUCUUUCAAUCUUCCAUGUCUGAGUACCAUGUGUUUGGCAGCAUCUGGAAAUUGUAAGUCGACUUUGAAAUAUUGAAGGACCUCUUCUUGGAUGGUUUAACUAGGAUUUUGUACCCAAAUGAGUGACUUCUGAAUGAUUUUCAAAUUUUCGUCCUAUAGUUUUUAAAGCUUCUCCUUGUCUGGAUUUUCAACUUAAUCUUGUCUUUUUUGUUCUACGUACGCAUAACUGGUGACUGGUUUUUCUGGAUCUUCACCUUAAUCAAUCUUGUUUUUCUACAGUUCAGUGUCUUAUGUUUGGCAGGAGCUGGGAUUUGCAAUUGGACUUUCUAUGGGUUUUAAGUAUUCAACCUAAACAUCACUUUGGCGUACUGAAGGAUUUAAGUAUAAUUGUGUGAUUUUUAAAACUGCUGCUUCUUUGUUUGAAUUUUCAAAAUUUUUCUCUUCCGUUCGGCUGGAUAAGAGAUUUGUAAUUGGACUUUGGGUGUUAAGGACGCAAGUAUAACUGAUGACUUUUAACUGGUUAUUAAUUUUUUUAUUUUUGGUGGAUUUUCACCAUAAUCUCUUCCAUUCUUCUAUGGUUCAGUGUCUUAUGUUUGGCAGGAGCUGGGGUUCAAUUUGGAGUAUCGAAGGAUUUAAAGUAUAACCGGGACUGAUUUUUAAAGCUUCUUUGUUUGGAUCUUCAACUUAAUUUUUCUUUUCCGUUUUUCUACGUUUGGCUUUCAUAUUCAGCAGGUUUAGGGAUUUGUAAUUGAAUUGGAAGUUUCCUCUUCCGAUCUUCAACGUUUGGCCAAUAUAUUCAGCAGGUUUAAAUGUUGAAGGAUCUAAGUGUAACUGGUGACUUCUAACUGGUUAUUAAAACUUGUUUUUUGGGUUUAUCUCUCUCCCUCUCUCUUGUUCUUCUAUGGUACUGUCUUGUGUUUGGUAGGGAUUUGCAAUUGGAAUUUAAAUGUUCAACUCGACGUCACUUUGGAGUAUUGAAGGAUUUGAGUAUAUCUGGGCCGGGCUUUUAAAGCUUUUGUUUGGAUCUAUAUUAAAAGCUUUUUCUUUCUCUGGAUUUUUAACUGGACUUUUCUCUCUCUCUCUCCUAACAUUUGGCACUCAUUCAGCAGUAUCUGGGAUCUGUAAAUGGAUUUUGGUCUUGAAGGACCUAAGUAUAACUGGUGACUUUUAACUGGUUAUUAUAAUUUUUCUGUAUUUUCACCUUAAUCUUGUCCAUUCUUCUAGUUAUAUUUGGCAGGAGCUGGGAUUUGCAUUUGGAUUUUAAAUGUUCAACUUAACAUAUCUUUCGACUUCCUAUGGGUUUUAAAUAUUCAGCUUACCAUCUCACUUCAACUUGACCUCUCUUUCGACUUUCUAUGGGUUUUAAAUAUUCAGCUCACCACCUCACUUCCUUCUGUGGUUUUAAAUAUUUAGCAUACCAUCACUUUGGAUUUACAGUACAACUGGUGACUUCUAUUCCCCCCUUUCAAAAAAAAUAAAAAAAGAACACCACACAGAAACAGAAGAAUACAUUAGAUCCACUCACGUCUAUUCUACAUCUGUGAAUCGCCCCUUUUCUGCUUAUUGAUUGCAUGUCAGUUUUUGUCUGGAUUACUUUUACAUUUAUUUUCAAUGCAGGAUCUUAAGGUGAUCAGAUACACCCGGUUAGACAUGGUUUUUUGUUUCGUGUUAUGAUUAUAUGCUUCUUAGUUUUUGAAGAUCUCUUUUCAGUUCUUUAUGUGAUUUGUCAAGUUAGUAGAAUUCUUUGUGAAAAUACCUCUGGAAUUCAUAAUAUAGGUUAGCACGGUAAGUUACUCAAGUUUGAAAUGGAAAUGAUGCUCUUACCUCAGGUGAAUUUUGGUGAGGGAAUGUUUUACUAGGGAUUUGGAUAUUACCGUGGUAGCAAAGGGUUCAGGAAUUUUUUGUUAUUUAUUUAAUUCAUGAUGAAUUACGAAGGUUUUUUUUAUCAAGGUUUACUAUCAAUUUGCGAACUUGCUUUUGUGCAGUUCGCGGAUCCCCUUUUUGGCUGAUUUCUAUCUUGGGGGAACGAAGAUCACAAUGGCAUUCAGGAGUUGGUGGCUGUUUCUGAAAUCUGAAUUUUUCUGAUAUGCCUAUUGUAUUUUUCUCGUUUGGGAGAAUUGUGGACCAACUUCUGUGCUGUUCGAGCGUGUACUCUGGAUAAUUGGUUUUAAUUCUUUGAUUCAUGUCUCUCGGUCUCGCAUCUAUAUUGUUAUUUGAUAUCUGUAGCCUGGUGGUGAAGAUACUUUCCAUCUGCAAAUGUAGUGGUUGCUGUAGUAUGCCAUGGUUCAAGUGCAUCCCUCAUCUUCUCUAGCAGAAGUAGUAAAAGCAGAAUGAUGUUUUUAAGAUCUGCAUUUUCUGCUCACCUGUGUUUUUCACUUUUGUCUUGGAAAGCUGUUUCAUAUUUUUCGUGGAUUUGUUUAUGAAAUUUGUUUUACUGGCCCUUGUAAGUAGCGCUUGUGUGUGUUUAUUCUUAAACUUCUGACACACUACAGAAUGGUUGGUGCUAAUGGGUGGUUGUUACAGGUCAACUUCUAUGCCUUUGAAGUAACAUUCUUGUGCAGUUCUCUCUCGCAGCUUUGCAGUAAAUUUUAUGUAUAUCUUCUAUUCCAAUGAUUUUUUGGGAUUUGGAUUUCUAGAUCUGGAUGGGUGGUAGUGUCUUCAUGCAGUUUGUUAUGUGAUCUAGGGCAUUUUUUAUAUGUUCCUGAUGGUUUCUUUUACGGGGUGUGCGCUAGCUGAUAUGCAUUGUUUGACUGAAUGGCUACUACGAAGGUAUUUCGGAGGCUCUCUGAUCAGUGCUAAAAUAAAUGCUGCAAUGUACUUUUAUGCGAUGUUGUUCAACUAUUGUUAUUCUCAUUUUGGGAGGAUAAUCAAUUAACUUUAGUUUUAAUUCGUUGCUUUCUGGAAUGCCUGGUGACCUUUUGAAGGUGGAUUUUGCAAUAACUGAUGCGACGUUAUCGAAGAUUAUUGAUGGUUCAGUUCUGUUGCUUAGCUGCUUUGGUGUAUGUGUUCGCAUAGCUCCAAUAUUUUGUCGUCCUUGUGUAUAUACAUGCUGAUCUAUUCAAAUGGUCUCGGAGUGGCAUCAUGGAGGAAGAUUUGCCAACAACCAAGAAAAAUGGUUUAGCCGUUUAAUCUUUUCUGUUUUCACCGUCUAUUGCAAAGAUUGUACUGUGGAUUCUUGAUUUCUUAGAGUGGAAUGCUUUUAUUAUUGUUCCCGUGGAUGUAGGUGUAGGUCAUUUGACCGAACCACGUAAAUUCCCUGGUCUUCUUUCCCUGCUACUGGACUAAUUAUUUUAUGCGUUUCGGUGGCUGAGAGCAUCAAGUUAAAUAGUAAAAUUGAACAGGCGAUGUUCGUAAAUUCGUAAUUGAGAUUCUAGAGAUGCAAAGUGCACUUGCAAACUGAUAUUGGUGUAACGUCAAUUUAGUAAGAUAAAAACCAAGUUUAAUAACCGCUGAACAAUAAUCCAAUGGUAAGAUAUAUUGAAUUCGCGACACUCUCAAAAAAACUCGUAACUUUGGUAGCAAUUCUAGCGGUGAUGGUCUGACCAAGAUAAAAUUCUACUUCGAAUAAAAUCUUACUUCGAAGUAGGCUAAAUCAUUAAUUUUUUUCCCAAAAAUUUUUAAAUUUAUCCUCGUUCAGUUCCUGCUGUCGGCACCACUAUCUUUCAGCUACCAACUCCACUUCAUCUCUCA